rnacentral:lncRNA from 1 species
AAGUAAAACCACUGGGCAUUGCUAAGCCUGGCAGAGCUGUUUAAAAAAAAAAAUAUAUAUAUAAUGUAGAACUACUGGAAAUGCUGGAGUGGCCAAGUAGUUUACACACAUCAUGGCGAUUUUUUUUUUUAAAGCAGUGCUAAAUCAUCUGCCAAGUGUGACUAAGCCAGCACACAGCAUUUCAGUAGAACUGCUUGAGGCUACUACACAGGAAGAGCUGGGAGGAAUCUGGUCCAUUGUGCAGGAGCAGUAUCCUUCUCCCAUGGUACUUUAAUAUGUUUUAAAGUAGGCAAGAUAUGCAAGCAAGAAAGCAAAGCCCUGAAACAGUUCUGAUGAAUACAGAUGAAGAGUAAACCAUAUAAGUCAAAAUGUAAUUCCAAAGAAAAUUGAGCUUUGUAUUUAAAACAAAACAACAACAACAACAAAAAUAACAAAAACACAGUAAAAGCAUUUUUUUUCCUGGGGUGAAUAAAAAUUGUGUAUUGUAACA